UACGUAGGGUGCGAGCGUUAAUCGGAAUUACUGGGCGUAAAGCGUGCGCAGGCGGUUAUGCAAGCCAGAUGUGAAAUCCCCGGGCUCAACCUGGGAAUGGCAUUUGGGACUGCAAGGCUGGAGUACGGCAGAGGAGACUGGAAUUCCUGGUGUAGCAGUGAAAUGCGUAGAGAUCAGGAGGAAUACCAAUGGCGAAGGCAGGUCUCUGGGCUGAUACUGACGCUCAUGCACGAAAGCGUGGGGAGCAAACAGG
rnacentral:rRNA from 1 species